AUACGGAGGAUCCGAGCGUUAUCCGGAUUUAUUGGGUUUAAAGGGUGCGCAGGCGGCCAUUUAAGUCAGCGGUUAAAUCGUGGGGCUCAACCCCAUUCUGCCGUUGAUACUGGGUGGCUUGAUUGCGGUCGAGGUUGGCGGAAUUGGUUGUGUAGCGGUGAAAUGCAUAGAUAUGACGAAGAACACCGAUUGCGUAGGCAGCUGACCAGACCGCAAAUGACGCUCAUGCACGAAAGUGCGGGGAUCGAACAGGAUUAGAUACCCUGGUAGUCCGCACAGUAAACGAUGAAUACUUGUUUUCGGCGAUAUAAUGUCGGAGGCAAAGCGAAAGCGAUAAGUAUUCCACCUGGGGAGUACGCCGGCAACGGUGAAACUCAAAGGAAUUGACGGGG
rnacentral:rRNA from 1 species